rnacentral:ncRNA from 1 species
GCAGAAGCCAUUUGAUGCCUCUGGUAAAAAGUGGAAUCUUGCAUGGCGAAGACUGCCGGACAUGGAAUGCUCUUCGGGGCGUUCCCUGUGCAGCGAACAACCAUCUCAGAACUGGAGCGGACAAGGGGAUUCCGACUGCUUAAUUAAAACAAAGCAUUGCGAUGGCCUCAGAAGAUGUUGGCGCUAUCUCAUGUCUGCUCAAUGCUCUGAAUGUCAAAGUGAUCAAAUUCAAAAAGGCGCAGAUAAACGGCGGGAGCAAUUACGAAUCUCUUACGGUAGCCAAAUGCCUAGUCCUCUAAUUAGUGACGCGCAUGAACGGAUUAACGAGAUUCCCACUA